ensembl:lncRNA
CCAGGAGCUCCUUUAGGGCUGUGUGAGGAUGUGAAACUGAUUUUUAUGGUUUUAAGAGCAUUCGUGUGACUUCCGUUCAUAUUCUUUCUGCUUCUAUCCUUCUCCUUGCCUCAAGUUCUUUCCCCUUCCUUGACCUCUAAGAUCUGCCCUUAACUCAGAUCUUCCCUCCCUUUCAGACUGUAAUGGGGGCUGAUCAGCGAUUCGGGUGGUGGGUAGGGCCACCAGGAGCUCCUGUGAGAGAAAUGGCGGCAGGAGGUCCCUGCGCCCUUUCAGCUUUGUCCUUCAGAGGUCUCGGGGAGGAUCAUUUGACGUGUCUCAGGAACAUUUCCUCCUAACCCCCUGAAAUUUCAUUACAAUCAUUUAUCUUCAAAGAAAUCAAAACCCACCCCCUCCCCCCUCCUAUGGAAAGGUUAGGUCUUUGCUCAAGCCCACGGACUUUAACCUCAUAAAUAUUCCCAGCUAUAAGAUCUUAUUAAGAAGGUAUGUCUCCCAGGAGCAUAAAACCAUCAAGCUGUAAAUUUUAUUUAAUUUCCCAUGAGAUCUUAUGGCCUCAUACAUAUAAUUAGAGUGCAGUAUAGAGCACUUUUUUGUGUUUUGUCAAUAAAUCACCAGGGAACAAUCAACGUUUAAGAGGACAAGCUUUAAUGAUUUUUCAGACCCCUAAGCAGUCGUGCCUCCACAAUGGCAAGCCAGUCUUUAACCUCAUCUAACUAGGACUGUGGACUGUGGCGUCAGAUAGGACCCCAAACACUUAAUCCUAUUAGAUUCCCCAGCCCAGACAAUCAUGGCAGAACACCCAAGGGACGUAUUGAUUUUGAUGUGGCCGACAGAGAAGACAAGUCGACCUACUGACAGUGCUUUAUUAAGUGUUUACAAAUUAAAUAUCUGAAGGUCUGCGACAGGCCCAGCUCAGUUAAACGGGCCACAGUGAGAUGUGUGAACUGGACCCAAAGGGAUACUGCGUGGAGUGUGAGGCGGCUUGGGGGAACGGCCGGGCUCCCAUGAGAUCUUAUGGCCUCAUACAUAUAAUUAGAGUGCAGUAUAGAGCACUUUUUUGUGUUUUGUCAAUAAAUCACCAGGGAACAAUCAACGUUUAAGAGGACAAGCUUUAAUGAUUUUUCAGACCCCUAAGCAGUCGUGCCUCCACAAUGGCAAGCCAGUCUUUAACCUCAUCUAACUAGGACUGUGGACUGUGGCGUCAGAUAGGACCCCAAACACUUAAUCCUAUUAGAUUCCCCAGCCCAGACAAUCAUGGCAGAACACCCAAGGGACGUAUUGAUUUUGAUGUGGCCGACAGAGAAGACAAGUCGACCUACUGACAGUGCUUUAUUAAGUGUUUACAAAUUAAAUAUCUGAAGGUCUCGACAGGCCCAGCUCAGUUAAACGGGCCACAGUGAGAUGUGUGAACUGGACCCAAAGGGAUACUGCGUGGAGUGUGAGGCGGCUUGGGGGAACGGCCGGGCAGGCCCUGCUCCCUCCACUUCAGUUCUGCAGAAAGUCAGAAGGCUGCAAGAGCAAUUCCAGAUGCACAGUUUGCUGUUAUUGUUGAGCUCGCUCUGAUUGAAAGCCCAUCGUGUGACAUUUAUUCAAGUUCUAAGAGGCUGAUUCAAUGACAGAGCUAACUGCUAAUUUCUGCGUCCCUCAGUCAGGGCUCCAGAAGAAAGGAUCCUGUUCCUUUGGGUUGUUCCUCAUGCUGUGCUUUCUAAACAAAUCCACAAUCUGGUGGGCACAGAAGCUCUGAGCCCUCAGUUUUAUAUUGAUAUUUGGCUUAAAAGCUGAACCAGGUUCACUAUUUUCCUAGAAUUCCUUUCCUGCUCAAAAAUAUUGAAGAGGCCCCCAAUGUCGAAG